rnacentral:rRNA from 1 species
GAUGAACGCUGGCGGCGUGCCUAAUACAUGCAAGUCGAGCGAACAGACGAGGAGCUUGCUCCUCUGACGUUAGCGGCGGACGGGUGAGUAACACGUGGAUAACCUACCUAUAAGACUGGGAUAACUUCGGGAAACCGGAGCUAAUACCGGAUAAUAUAUUGAACCGCAUGGUUCAAUAGUGAAAGACGGUUUUGCUGUCACUUAUAGAUGGAUCCGCGCCGCAUUAGCUAGUUGGUAAGGUAACGGCUUACCAAGGCAACGAUGCGUAGCCGACCUGAGAGGGUGAUCGGCCACACUGGAACUGAGACACGGUCCAGACUCCUACGGGAGGCAGCAGUAGGGAAUCUUCCGCAAUGGGCGAAAGUCUGACGGAGCAACGCCGCGUGAGUGAUGAAGGUCUUCGGAUCGUAAAACUCUGUUAUUAGGGAAGAACAAAUGUGUAAGUAACUAUGCACGUCUUGACGGUACCUAAUCAGAAAGCCACGGCUAACCACGUG